rfam:Bacillus pseudalcaliphilus strain DSM 8725 super19, whole genome shotgun sequence.
AAACGACUACAACCGCACGGACUAGGUUUUUAAAAGAAAUCUUGAUGAUUUCUACCUAAUGAUGGCGAGUCUGAGUAUAUGA